AUGACACAGCAGGGUGCAUCUCCCCCACUAAGGCAAGCAACUCUAGCGGCGUUGGGGUAUGUGUGCGAGGAGAUUGGUCUGGAGCAGCAACAAGCGAAUGGUGUUCUGAAUGCUGUCGUUCAGGCAAUGAACCAGGCAGAACCAAGUACUGAAGUUUGUCUUGCAGCAGUUAAAGCUCUAUAUAAUCUUCUUGGCUGUGCUGCGGCCAACUUUGCAAAUGAGGAUGUGAGAAAUCAUAUAAUGGGCGCAGUUUGUGAAACACUAGCAAAAUUCGAAGAUCUGGAGAUCCAACAGGCAAUAUUCGAAUGCCUUGCUAAAAUUGCAUCCACAUAUUAUAUGCUGUUACAACCUUAUUUGAGAACCAUACUCAGUCUGACAGAAUCAAUUGCACCCCAAUGUGUGGUGUUCCGGUGCACUGUUUGCCCUCGAGUUACAAGUUCCAGUGCUGCUAAAGCAUUUGUUCAAGCGGGAGAAAGAUCAAGCAUCUGCUCAUGCAAGAGGAAGAUCAAGGAGAUGUUGUGCUUCCGUUGCUUCCUGCUUAAUCUGAAUCAAGCCAGCAAUUUGCUGGAUCUUUCAAAAAGACAAGAUGGAAGAUCCAAACAGCGAGGUUACGAAGAUGCAGAGUCAAUACCAUCUGAGCUUUCAUCGUCUCUUGAUCGUGUUAUUGAUGCUCUCCUUUCUACUUCACAACCUUCUGAUGAGACCCCUUUCAGGCUUGGAGCAUCUGCUUAUGAAGCAUUGCGUGCAGUUGUGAGAGUCAGCAAUUUAGAACAAGCUGUUGUUUGGAGCGCUAUAGGAGAUUUAAUGCAUUGUAUCAUGAAAAGAUUGGAUAUGACGCUUGAUCGCCAAGCACUUACUUUGGGUCAUAAGUUGAAGAAAAACAAUCUUCAGAUUGUGCUGUGUGGUGUACUGCAGGUCAUCGUCCAGAGACUGGCCAAUUCAGCUACAGUGAAGAUAGUUACGAACGCUGCUCAUCAUUUGUUAUUUUCUUUUUGCCGUGUCUUGGUUUGUGACAGUUCUACUGCACAGAGUGAAGCAAUGUGUUGGUUUGCCAUUGCUGCUCUUGCUAAUGCCACUGGUCCAGAGUUUGGGAAACAUAUGCCUAUACUCAUGCAGGUAAAAUGUUGCCACACUGUGAUAAAAUUAUGCAAGUUCUGUACAAAGGUCUUACUAAGUCGACUCUUAGAGCUCCAAUUUUCUCAUGCUUCGGAGACAUUGCUCUUGCUAUUAGCAAUGAUUUUGAGAAGUGCCUGCAGUAUGUUCUGGAAAAGCUUCAAGAAGCUGCUAACUCACAGGACUGGGCUGAUGUUCAAGAAGAGGACAAGACUGAAUAUGUGGCUUAGACAGGGAAUAUGUAAGGCAUACUCUGGCAUACUACGGGGUAUGAAGGACCCAAGAAUUGGGUUUAAGGUAGCAACCCAUCUAUUUAAAUUCAUGGAAGGAGUCUGGGCAGACCGGAGCAGGGAUAAAAGUGUGAUGCAUGCUGCUGUUGCUGUGUUGACCGAUUUUGAUUUGACAAUUGGGUCAUGGACAGAAGAGAUGACUAAGGAAUUGCAUAACUAA
rnacentral:rRNA from 1 species